rnacentral:rRNA from 1 species
UUGGAGGGCAAGUCUGGUGCCAGCAGCCGCGGUAAUUCCAGCUCCAAUAGCGUAUAUUAAAGUUGUUGCCGUUAAAAAGCUCGUAGUUGAAUUUCGGGAUUGACGUGAUGGUCAUGCCUUAAGGGGUAUGAACUGUCACAGUUGAUUUCUCACCUUCUGGAGAAACUUGAUGUCCUUUAUUGGGUGUCUUGCGGAUCCAGGACCUUUACCUUGAAAAGAUUAGAGUGUUUAAAGCAGGCAUUUUUGCUCGAAUACAUUAGCAUGGAAUAAUAGAAUAGGACGGCAUGGUUCUAUUUUGUUGGUUUCUAGGAUCACCGUAAUGAUUAAUAGGGAUAGUUGGGGGCAUUAGUAUUCAAUUGUCAGAGGUGAAAUUCUUGGAUUUAUUGAAGACUAACUACUGCGAAAGCAUUUGCCAAGGAUGUUUUCAUUAAUCAAGAACGAAAGUUAGGGGAUCGAAGACGAUCAGAUACCGUCGUAGUCUUAACCAUAAACUAUGCCGACUAGGAAUCAGACGAUGUUAAUUUUUUAAUGACUCGUUUGGCACCUUACGGGAAACCAAAGUGUUUGGGUUC